UAUUAAUAUCAUUAGUAUUAUUGCCAUUAAUAACAUUAUUAUUCUUCUGAUUCCAGCGCCUUCCAUGUUUUUUAGUUAGUUGCAUAAGCUUCAUCUCCAGUAAUGCUAGCGCUCAUGUAAAUGUAUAAACACUCCCAGCAGGUUAUUCAGGGCAAAGACCAGAGCAUUGUUUCAGGUUCUUUACUACGCUCAAACGCACCUCUGUUUGUACAGAUGGUUCACAUUGCAUUAUGAGUUCAGAGUAAUUGAAUGCUGCUUUCCGGAAAAAUGUAGAUUAGACCAUCUGAGGAGGAGCUAUGCCAGGGAGCCGAAGGCACUGCCCAUGGCUGAUAUCCAGCACUAAUACCAGCGCCGGUCAGGACAGGGUUCAGUGCGGUGAAGCAAGCGCUAGCAGAAGAUAUUCCAGGUCACUGCAGAUCAUUCUCACAAACAGACAAGCAAGGCAGCACCCCUGUUUCUACAUUCAGGGUUUAAAAAACAGAUACUAUACAGCUUGAAUGCUAUUUUAUUUACACUUCACCUGUGUGGUAGAGGUUUGUGUUAGUCCCCUAAGAACAGCAUCGCUGAUCUGUGUGGUAGAGGUUUGUGUUAGUCCCCUAAGAACAGCAUCGCUGAUCUGUGUGGUAGAGGUUUGUGUUAGUCCCCUAAGAACAGCAUCGCUGAUCUGUGUGGUAGAGGUUUGUGUUAGUCCCCUAAGAACAGCAUCGCUGAUCUGUGUGGUAGAGGUUUGUGUUAGUCCCCUAAGAACAGCAUCACUGAUCUGUGUGGCCUCUGUGAUCCUCAAAGUUUCAUAGAACUCAAAUGAGAAAGUGUUUUGUGAAUCUGUUUAGAGCCAUUGACCAAGAGUCAACAUUCCUUAGUCUAGAUUGUACCAGCAGGCUGUAAAACCACUGCAUCACAGAGUGCUAGAACUCCAAUUAGAAGUGAAUGCAACAGCAAUGUCUCAGGAGAAUACUUAUCAGCCUGCAGUUGUCUUUAUACAUAUCAACAGGUUUAAACUAUAUGCCCAUAGAUACCUAGCCUAGAUCCAGCAAGCAUGAAGGGUGUGGAAGUGCAGUGCAGUGACGCUAUGAGAUCUGAUGCAGGUUCUGAGUGGGGCUUCUGCACCAUUCAAAUAAAAUGUUUCCAGUUUAACAGAAUAUUUACAGCUACUGGUGGUUGGCUGCAUAUUUCCCUUCUUGCAGUCAGGGCAUAAGUUCGGAGGUUUUGACAGUUCAAGCACUUAUCAGCGUUCUGUAGUGAGAUCAGGAGCCCGAGGGGAGGGGCUUCCCAGUCAGACCUUCCCGACACGGCACGGGCAUUGUCUGGAAUGUGGAGGAGUGCUGGCAGAGGUCAGGGCCAGGUGGGGUCCUAAUUGAAUCCUCCCAGUCCUGCCAGAACGGAGACAGAGACAGAAACAGAGACAGACCGAGACCGAGACCGAGACCGAGACCGAGACCGAGACAGAGACCGAGACCGAUCAAAUUAAUAGAAAUUAUACAAGCUUUCAAUGAAUCCUAACAGCACUAGUGAAAUGAAAUGUCGCUGCUGUUUAAAUCAGUUUGUUUAGUUUCUUCCCUGUUCAGUUCAGUCUCUCUCUUUAUGCUGGGCCUGCACUCUGACACCCAGUCAAUAGACAGCACAGUGCAGCCGGCAGAGUGCUAUCACUGUGUGUGUCUCUACCUGUCAGGAGAGCUUGCAGAGCUCAGAGUGCUAUCACUGUGUGUGUCUGCAUGUCAGGAGAGCUUGCUGAGCUCAGAGUGCUUUCACUGUGAGUGUCUGCAUGUCAGGAGAACUUGCUGGCUGGCAGGGCUACUGAUUCUGCAUGAACAAUUGUUAAUCAAAAUGUGUUUAAAGGAGCAGAGAUUCAUUAUCCUGUGUUUUCUUGUCUUUUAAUUUACUACUGCAUGCAGACAGCAGACUUGUGGCACUACAGUACUACAAAUAGUCUACUGUAGCUCUUUGAGAGGAACCCUGUCCCAGCAAACCUCAGGAGGAGGCAGAGAGCCAAAACUAGGAUAAGAAAGAAUAUUGUGCUGCCUAAACAUCUGGAGCUCAGACCACAGGCACAUUCAUUUUUGUACUUCUUUUUUAAUCCUCUUCUCCAGCCUCUUAUCACCCUGUUCUGAUUUCUUGUUUAGUUUUUGCCUGCGAAGCACUGAAGAUUUCUUGACCCCUGCUGUUCUACCAUCCCGACUGUCAGAGCUGUCCUGUGGGGCACCACACACUCUUCCCAAGCAGCACAGAUAUGCAUCCCCACCAGAACCAGGCCUGAGGAGUCUUUUCAGAAGCAUGGCAAACAAUCAUCUCAGCAGAACAAUGGAGGAAGCAUACAGAAUCGGAAUGGGAUUUUAAACAGCUCAGAUCGCUUCCCUCUGUGGACAGCAGAUGACGCUGUGGGUUCAGUGAUGACUGCAACCCACUUUACAGCUGCAGCUGAAGCCUUUCCAUCUACGAAUCAGCAUUUGCUUCCCAGAGACUGCAUGCAAGUAAAGAUUACUAAUCAAGCCCUGACUGUCCGUGUUCCUGUCUCUACUCUGCAGCCGACUGUCUGUGUUCCUGUCCUGUUCCAGACAUAGGGGAAUUCAUUACAGGUUGCACACAUUCAGAUGCUUUCUGUUUAAUACCUCACGAUGCUCGACCACAAAAUAAAGGAGAACCCGUUCUGUGGUUGAACAUGUGAAACUGUAGCUGUGGUCUGGAAUCUCUCUCUUCCCUGACAGCACCAGGAUUCACCCCUCACUCACAGCCUAAGAAAAGAGGGUUAAGACUUUUCUAUCUAGUCAGGCUCUCUGAGCUGGUCUUAUGGAGAGUGUUGUCAGACUCCAGCAAUGAAAGAAGAUACUUUAUUUGAGAACUGGUCAGGAAUUUAACCAGAGGUAGGGCCACCAACGUUAAAGUGAUUUAGACUACAAAAUAAUUUCAUAAAUGUCACAUGUUUUAAUAA